ensembl:processed_transcript Eldr Egfr long non-coding downstream RNA
UUGAGACGGCCGAGAGUUUGAGCGCCAAGGCUCUCUCUCCCCAGGGGACUCUGCAACCUGACUAGGUGCUCCUUCCCUGAGGUGUGUGCUCGACAAAGCAUAGUAACAUUCCAGGGAGCUGCCCGGGGAAGCUUAACGCUCGAUGCGGGUGGUAGGAAUGUAUCAUGGUGGGAGAGUCAUGGCAGCAGGCAGCUGGAACAGGACACCAAGUAAGAACACCUUCAACUACAAGCAGAAGUCAAGGAGAACUGAAAGUGGGUCCCUGAAGUCAGCUCUGGAAAACUGAGAAGAGUGCUGCGUGCAGAAUGCUUCGCUGGAUGUUUUUUUCCUCUAUUCUCACAGACAACUGGAACCUUGAGAGCCAAGGGAGAUUGUGGAGAGGAUGUGAGCAGAUGGCCGCUGAGGAUAGCUGACCGGGUGGGUGGGCUGGAACCUAGGCCAGGACCUGCCACCUGAGGAUUGUGCCUGCGAUGUCCAUAUGAUUGUGAACAGCUAAACAGGGAGCUCUGCUCUGUUGAAAAUCAUAAAGUUGAAAAUGAAAAGAGAUAAAGCCUUAAGCACAGAAGAAUAUUUUGUCUUUGGUGAAAAGAACAACUUA